rnacentral:rRNA from 1 species
CAGUCGCCGCGGGAAUACGUAGGGUGCAAGCGUUAAUCGGAAUUACUGGGCGUAAAGCGUGCGCAGGCGGUUUUGUAAGUCUGUCGUGAAAUCCCCGGGCUCAACCUGGGAAUGGCGAUGGAGACUGCAAGGCUAGAAUCUGGCAGAGGGGGGUAGAAUUCCACGUGUAGCAGUGAAAUGCGUAGAUAUGUGGAGGAACACCGAUGGCGAAGGCAGCCCCCUGGGCUAAGAUUGACGCUCAUGCACGAAAGCGUGGGGAGCAAACAGGAUUAGAGACCCCUGUAGUCCCUGUCUCUUAUAC